UACAGGGGGUGCAAACGUUGCUCGGAAUCAUUGGGCGUAAAGCGCACGUAGGCGGUUCGUUAUGUCGGAUGUGAAAGCCCUUGGCUUAACCGAGGAAGUGCAUCCGAAACUGGCGAGCUAGAGUACGAAAGAGGAUCGCGGAAUUCCGGGUGUAGCGGUGGAAUGCGUAGAGAUCCGGAAGAACACCGGUGGCGAAGGCGGCCUGCUGGGCAGUUUUGCUGACACUGAGGCGCGACAGCGUGGGGAGCAAACAGG
rnacentral:rRNA from 1 species